UCUGAUCUAAACAGUGAAAAUACCAUUAUGAGAAUGAGGCUUGGAAAGCGGUCACAUGACUGAAAGAUGUCAUAGCUAACCAUCACGCAUGCGCCUGCGGUUCGCCUGAAAACGAGGCUUGGAGAGCACACGCAGGAUGCAGAAGGAAGCGGGAAGGUGCCGCUGUUUAAAUGGCAGCACAGAUACACAUGUCUAUACUGUCUCUGAGGAAGCCGCCGAUGUAAGCAUUGCUGCUGAAGGCCGUGAGACGCAUAAGAUGACAUCCUAAGCCCAGUACUGGCCGAGCCUGCACGGCAUACUACAUUGUCAUCAGCAGCUUUAAAGUGGGACACUCCAGAUAUGGCACCGAAAAAGUUAAAAGCACCAGGAGCCGGGAGAAACUUGUGGAGUCUAUGGCGAGCACAAUGGCAAGCUGCUGCUGCUUGGAGCCCCGACCAAUCCCCUUCUCAGCCCCCCUCCACUUCUGUGGCCCAAUCCCCCUCUCCUUCCCAGUCCGCUUCUCAGCCCCCCUCCCCUUCUGUGGCCCAAUCCCCCUCUCCUUCCCAGUCCCCUUCUCAGACCCCCUCCCCUUCUGUGGCCCAAUCCCCCUCUCCUUCCCAGUCCCCUUCUCAGCCCCCCUCCCGUUCUGUGGCCCAAUCCCCCUCUCCUUCCCAGUCCCCUUCUCAGCCCCCCUCCCCUUCUGGGGCCCAAUCCCCUCUCCUUCCCAGUCCCCUUCUCAGCCCCCCUCCCCUUCUGUGGCCCAAUCCGCCUCUCCUUCCCAGUCCCCUUCUCAGCCCCCCUCCCCUCUCUUUACCAAUACCCAUCUCUGUCCCCCUCCCCCUCUGAAGGCCAAACAACAACUCCGGCCACCUCCCCUCUCUUUCCCAGUCCCCCUCUUUGGCCCCUCCCCCCCUGUUGCACAAACACCCUCUCCGCCCCCCUCCCCCUCUCAAUCACACCCACCCUCUGAAAACAGCUCCCCAAUCCCUCCUCCUUCCCCAAUCCCUCCUCCUUCCCCAAUCCAGCCUCCUUCCCCAAUCCAGCCUCCUACCCACAUCCAGCCUCCUUCCCCCAUCCAGCCGCCUUCCCCACCCACUGAAUGGGCAGCAGAAGCCCCAGGUGAGAUUCCGGGGAGUCCGCAUGUGACAGAUGAGAAUGUUGCAGUUGGGGAUCCCACAAGUUUGCCAGGAAUUGUGGCCAGGAUUAAAAACAAUUUGAGGGCCGUGCUGGCCGAUUUUGAAUUGUUAGAAUAAUUUUUCUAAAAAUUUAUUUUACAUUUUAUUCCAAAAAAGUUAAUUUUCGUUAAAAAAAAACCAAUGUUGUUCAAGUUAA